UACGUAGGGUGCAAGCGUUGUCCGGAAUUAUUGGGCGUAAAGAGCUCGUAGGCGGUCUGUCGCGUCGGCUGUGAAAUCCCGAGGCUCAACCUCGGGUCUGCAGUCGAUACGGGCAAACUAGAGUAUUGCAGGGGAGACUGGAAUUCCUGGUGUAGCGGUGAAAUGCGCAGAUAUCAGGAGGAACACCAGCGGCGAAGGCGGCGCUCUGGGCCGGAACUGACGCUGAGGAGCGAAAGCGUGGGGAGCAAACAGG
rnacentral:rRNA from 1 species